rnacentral:rRNA from 1 species
CCUACGGGAGGCAGCAGUGGGGAAUAUUGGACAAUGGGCGCAAGCCUGAUCCAGCAAUGCCGCGUGAGUGAUGAAGGCCUUAGGGUUGUAAAGCUCUUUUACCAGGGAUGAUAAUGACAGUACCUGGAGAAUAAGCUCCGGCUAACUCCGUGCCAGCAGCCGCGGUAAUACGGAGGGAGCUAGCGUUGUUCGGAAUUACUGGGCGUAAAGCGUACGUAGGCGGUUAUUCAAGUCAGAGGUGAAAGCCCGGGGUCUCAACCCCGGAACUGCCUUUGAAACUAGGUAGCUAGAAUCUUGGAGAGGUCAGUGGAAUUCCGAGUGUAGAGGUGGAAAUUCGUAGAUAUUCGGAAGAACACCAGUGGCGAAGGCGACUGACUGGACAAGUAUUGACGCUGAGGUACGAAAGCGUGGGGAGCAAACAGGAUUAGAUACCCUGGUAGUCCACGCCGUAAACGAUGAUAACUAGCUGUCCGGUCACUUGGUGACUGGGUGCGCAGCUACGACAUUAAGUUAUCCGUCCGUCGGGUAGGUACGGUCGCGAGAAGUUAAACGUAACGAAAGGAAGUAGUAACGGUCGUGAGACGUAGACGAACGGACGACGACGAGGGAGGAGG